UCCGGUUUGUCACCGGCGGUCUCCUUAGAGUUCCUACCAUUACGUGCUGGCAACUAAGGACAAGGGUUGCGCUCGUUGCGGGACUUAACCCAACAUCUCACGACACGAGCUGACGACAGCCAUGCAGCACCUGUCUCUAGGUUCCCUUUCGGGCACAGCCCCGUUUCCGGAGCCUCCAGGACAUGUCAAGGGUAGGUAAGGUUUUUCGCGUUGCAUCGAAUUAAUCCACAUAAUCCACCGCUUGUGCGGGUCCCCGUCAAUUCCUUUGAGUUUUAAUCUUGCGACCGUACUCCCCAGGCGGGAUGCUUAAUGCGUUAGCUGCGCCACUGAAGGGUAAACCCACCAACGGCUAGCAUCCAUCGUUUACGGCGUGGACUAC
rnacentral:misc_RNA from 1 species